ACUUAAUCAAGUUUGAUAUAGGGCAGGAGAAAAAUUAUGUAUAUGGACCCAGUCGUUUUCGCUGGAAUUGCAACUGUUCUACUGAUGGUCGUGUUUUUUGUUGGAGUGGGCAUAUUCAUUAUGCGCGAUCAAAAAGCGCAUGGAGGAGAUCAGCACAAGGAAGAUCUGAAG
rnacentral:sRNA from 1 species